AUGCAGCCACUCUUAACCUGUGGGCAUGGUCGGCGGACCCGAGCAAGAUCCCCAAGGUGCAGCUCGUCACCUUCACCUGCAACCAGUUGCCGGCAAGCAGCUCCUCCGCCCCCCUCGCUGGACGCCAAGGGCUCCGGCGACGCAUUCCGGUCCACCUGGACCAGAUUGAAGACUUCCUCCCUGAUGUUGAUGGAACGAUCCCUCGACGUCCGAACCCGCAUGCCCCCUUCCACUAGCGGUAUGGCGUGGUGGAUGGAGAGGCGCGGUCGCGUGACCUCCAGGAGCUUCGUGGCGGCCACUACGAGCGCGAUCGACGCAACAACGACCGCGACAGAGAUGAUGGGCAUGAUGGCCGCGGCAGACGUGACGACCGCAACUCCUCCUGGCGGGGUUUGUUCCGGAGCCGCUCCAGAGCUCCCCGUCGUGACGAGGACCGAGAUGGAGGCUCGCGUGAAGAUCGGCGGCAUGGGGAUCGCGACUACCACGGCCGCCACGGAGAUGGACGGAGACGUGCCUUGCCUGAUGCUAGGAAGAUUGACAAGGCCUUAG
rnacentral:rRNA from 1 species